rnacentral:antisense_RNA from 1 species
GAACACAAAAUGGCGACACGUGGUUAGCAUUCGUCGCCAACGAGAAAUUGGGGUCGGCCCGAAAGCUCUAGAAUGCACCCCUAUUCCUCCCCGGGGCCAUUCCCGCUCAACGAGUUUUAUGACCUAAAAAACCCCACAGGCUGGUCUGAAGAGGAAGACACUUAAAGAUGAAGUGCUUAAUUCAAGGUCACAGAAUGUCGGGGAUGGACCUCCAGAUUUCCUUACUGGAAAACAAGCUCAGGGCUCCCACUGAUUGUACAUUAUGAGACAGAGUCUUCUUGCUAUGUUGCCCAGGCUGGUCUUGAACUCCUAACCUCAAGCGAUCCUCCCAUCUUGGCCUCCCAGGUGUCAGGAUUACAGGCAUGUGCUAUCACACCCAACCUGAUACAUUGCCUUUAUAAAUUUUUUUUUCUUUAUUCUAAAAAACAGAAAAAACAAAACUGGAUACAUGUGCAGAACAUGCAGAUGGAGUCUCACUCUGUAGCCCAAGCUGGAGUGGCGUGAUCUCGACUCACUGCAACCUCCGCCUCCUGGGCUCAAGUGAUUCUCGUGCCUCAGCCUCCUGAGUAGCUGGGACUACAGGUCAUAGAAUUUUCCACACUCCUUGACGGAGGUUCUUAACCCUUAUCCAUCAGCAUUCUCAGACAGCACCUCCGGUUAGGGACAGUAUCUGACCGUCCGACAUCCCUGCAGCCCCCAUGCUGUCACACAGACUCAGCCUCAGGUAGAUGGUUUCCGUAGAUGGUGGCUUUCUUUGGACCCUUGAUAUCAACCAGUUACUAUUUGACUCUUCUGCAGAACCCCAUGUUGACCCCUGCUUUGAGGUGGCAGCGUUAACACUACUCUUUGUUAUAAGCUCUCGUCUGGGGCAACUCAGGAGAACGGGACCAGAUGUGCAGAGGUAAUGAAUACCAGGGAAUCAGGAAACCACUGGAUCAGUUCUUUGAGCCAUAGAACAACACUCAUCCCAGCAGCUGGGAAGCUAUCUGCAAAAGUCCAUCUGCAGAAAGGGCUUCCUGGUCUUGCGUGUGGCUGGGCCAUUUCUCUGGAUGCAGGUUUUUCAUUAUACAGUCUUCUCAAAGGACCACCUGCUCUCAACACC